rnacentral:rRNA from 1 species
GAUGAACGCUAGCGGCAGGCUUAAUACAUGCAAGUCGAGGGGUAGCAAGAUUGUAGCAAUACAAUUGUUGACGACCGGCAAACGGGUGCGGAACACGUACACAACCUUCCUACAAGUGGGGAAUAGCCCAGAGAAAUUUGGAUUAAUACCCCGUAACAUAGCGAUGUGGCAUCACAUUGCUAUUAUAGCAUCGGCGCUUGUUGACGGGUGUGCGGCUGAUUAGAUAGUUGGCGGGGUAACGGCCGACCAAGUCUACGAUCAGUAGCUGAUGUGAGAGCAUGAUCAGCCACACGGGCACUGAGACACGGGCCCGACUCCUACGGGAGGCAGCAGUAGGAAUAUUGGACAAUGGACGCAAGUCUGAUCCAGCCAUGCCGCGUGAAGGAUUAAGGUCCUCUGGAUUGUAAACUUCUUUUAUAAGGGACGAAAAAAGGUCUUUCUAGAUCGUCUGACGGUACCUUAUGAAUAAGCACCGGCUAACUCCGUGCCAGCCGCCGCGGUAAUAC